CCCUUAGAUGUCCUGGGCCGCACGCGCGUUACACUGAUGCAUUCAACGAGCUUAUAACCUUGGCCGAGAGGCCUGGGCAAUCUUGUUGACGUGCAUCGUGAUAGGGAUAGAUUAUUGAAAUUAUUAAUCUUGAACGAGGAAUUCCUAGUAAACGCAGAUCAUCAAUCUGCAUUGAUUACGUCCCUGCCCUUUGUACACACCGCCCGUCGCACCUACCGAUUGGAUGGUCCGGUGAAGCCUCGGGAUUGUGGUUCUUGCCGCUUUAUUGUGGCGUGACCGCGAGAACUUGUCUAAACCUUAUCAUCUAGAGGAAGGUGAAGUCGUAACA
rnacentral:rRNA from 1 species